rnacentral:rRNA from 1 species
AGCUCGUAGGUGGUUUGUCGCGUCGUUUGUGUAAGCCCGCAGCUUAACUGCGGGACUGCAGGCGAUACGGGCAUAACUUGAGUGCUGUAGGGGAGACUGGAAUUCCUGGUGUAGCGGUGGAAUGCGCAGAUAUCAGGAGGAACACCGAUGGCGAAGGCAGGUCUCUGGGCAGUAACUGACGCUGAGGAGCGAAAGCAUGGGUAGCGAACAGGAUUAGAUACCCUGGUAGUCCAUGCCGUAAACGGUGGGCGCUAGGUGUGAGUCCCUUCCACGGGGUUCGUGCCGUAGCUAACGCAUUAAGCGCCCCGCCUGGGGGAGUACGGCCGCAAGGCUAAAACUCAAAGGAAUUGACGGGGGCCCGCACAAGCGGCGGAGCAUGUGGAUUAAUUCGAUGCAACGCGAAGAACCUUACCUGGGCUUGACAUACACCAGAUCGCCGUAGAGAUACGGUUUCCCUUUGUGGUUGGUGUACAGGUGGUGCAUGGUUGUCGUCAGCUCGUGUCGUGAGAUGUUGGGUUAAGUCCCGCAACGAGCGCAACCCUUGUCUUAUGUUGCCAGCAAUUCGGUUGGGGACUCGUGAGAGACUGCCGGGGUUAACUCGGAGGAAGGUGGGGAUGACGUCAAAUCAUCAUGCCCCUUAUGUCCAGGGCUCCACACAUGCUACAAUGGUCGGUACAACGCGUUUGCGAGCCUGUGAGGGUGUGCUAAUCACUGAAAGCCGGUCGUAGUUCGGAUUGGGGUCUGCAACUCGACCCCAUGAAGUCGGAGUCGCUAG